rnacentral:misc_RNA from 1 species
CAACCCUUAAGCCUAGCUUAGUGUUGGGAAUCGGCUGUAUUGCCGUUCCUUAAAGACAGUGGCGGAGCGAUAGUUGUCCUCUGAGCGUAGUAAAUUCAUUUCUCGCUUCUGUAAGGCUCUAUCUUCUCGCCAUAAAACCCCCAAUUUUUUAGU